rnacentral:rRNA from 1 species
AGCGAACGCUGGCGGCAGGCCUAACACAUGCAAGUCGAACGAAGUCUUCGGACUUAGUGGCGGACGGGUGAGUAACACGUGGGAACGUGCCUUUAGGUUCGGAAUAACUCAGGGAAACUUGUGCUAAUACCGAAUGUGCCCUUCGGGGGAAAGAUUUAUCGCCUUUAGAGCGGCCCGCGUCUGAUUAGCUAGUUGGUGAGGUAAAGGCUCACCAAGGCUACGAUCAGUAGCUGGUCUGAGAAGAUGACCAGCCACGUUGGGACUGAGACACGGCCCAAACUCCUACGGGAGGCAGCAGUGGGGAAUCUUGCGCAAUGGGCGAAAGCCUGACGCAGCCAUGCCGCGUGGAUGAUGAAGGUCUUAGGAUUGUAAAAUCCUUUCACCGGUGAAGAUAAUGACUGUAGCCGGAGAAGAAGCCCCGGCUAACUUCGUGCCAGCAGCCGCCGUAAUAC